GUUUUCUUCAGCGAGUCCAUUUUGAUGGCAGACCUGAGAGCUGAAAGCAACUUUUCAAAAUGGCAAGUGAGGUGCUCUAUGCUGUGGUGUCACCCAAGGAAAGAGCGAAUUUUAUUUCAGAAGCUUCAGAUACAGGUGAUUCAGUCACAUAUGCUGAGGUGAAUAUGAAUUGGAGAUCUGACAGACCUGACAGCACACCCAAAAUUACACACUCAGUGACCUGCUUGGAGAACUCCCCCUGGUGCUACCUUGUCUUCGCCCUCCUCUUCUGCACAGUGAUUCUGCUCCUCACGGUCAUCCUGCUGGCAGUGAAAUGUUACAGUCUUUGACCCUGCUGCCAUACCAGGUAAGUCAGCAUGGAAGGUUCUGCUUUUUCAACGGAACUGGAUGUAGUCUGUUUUAUUUUACAUUAUUUUGGCUGAGGAGACAAAAUGAAGAUAUGCCAUCAGUCUGAUCACUCUCCAGUUAUGUCUUCCCAGAGCUCUGUAAAACCUCUAACCUCUCCAUAUGUGGACUAUAUAGAUACCAACUUUAUUUGGAAUUUUCUUAAUCCUACAAUACCAGCAACCAUCCAACUAUAUCAGUGCAUGUAUCAAGACAUGGGCUCAAGAUCCUGCAUCAAAAGGUGGAUUCGCGCCUUGUUUACACAACAAAAAUGAUCAGGUGGAGACAUACUUUUAAUUCACAUCUGACUUGAUUCUGCACUGGUGUGCAAUAUAUAUACACUUUUGGAUUAUAUGCAAGUGCAAAAACUCAUAGACAAAACAGGGAAUUAUAAAAAUCCUUUUUAUAAAGGCUGGGCUUGGACUUGGUUUUUCUUCUUCUGACAGCCAACUAAAGUUAGUUGGAUUUGUAUGAAAGGGAUAUUGAAGGUUCAAGAAACUGAAUGUUAUCAGUAGAGAAGUCUCCAUUUCAUCUCCUCAUUGUCUUGAAUUGAAUUGUUCUGUUCCACUUGUCCAGAAGAGCAUCUCACAAUAUACUGUUUCUGUCUUGGGGCAGUAAUUGAUUUUUGUAUUUGUGUUUGGUUUUUUUCUCCCACAUGCCAUAGCUUCAGUUAAAACUGACUCUUCCACUGGAACUGAGACACUGAAGUUCAAAUACAUUUGUUUGUAAUUAUGACCUUAUUGUCUGUUUUUAUAUUAUUUUUGGAUCUUAUCCUUUUAAACUUCUUUGUGGCAGGCUGCAGAGGAUUUGCAGAUUCUGAGUAGGAGGAAUCUGUAUAGCAAAUAUAUCUAGAACUUAUAUAUCUAUAUAUAUUUUAUACAUAUAUAUAAAAUAUAUCUAAACUUCCUGUACUUUAGCUGUUGCUGUUGCUGCUGUUGGUAAU